rnacentral:misc_RNA from 1 species
AUGUACCUCAACUUGCCAAGCUCAUGAUUGAGCUGAACAACAAGAAGAAAUUGUUCAAUUUGAAAGGAGUUGCAUUGGGUAAUCCUGUCUUGGAAUUUGCUACUGACUUCAAUUCGAGGGCUGAGUACUUCUGGUCUCAUGGCCUAAUAUCAGACUCCACCUACAGAAUGUUCACUUCUGUUUGCAAUUAUUCUCGCUACGUGAGCGAGUACUACAGGGACGGUGUAUCACCAAUGUGUUCAAGAGUCAUG